rnacentral:pre_miRNA from 1 species
UGAUGACGAUGAUGAUGAUGAUGAUGGCGACGAUGAUGAUGAUGAUGAUGACAUUGUUGUUACAUCAAAACAGCGAUUUCGAAUGCAUAAUUGGAUGUGUUUUUGUUUGGCCCGGCAAAUAACUGCUAUUAAAUGUCAUCAUCAUCAUCGUCGUCGUCCUCAUCAUUAUCAUCAUCA